GCAACGCGUGGGCGCGGACCACGCGUGUGGUAACGGUGCGUGCAUCUCCGGGAGUGCUACUCCGCCGUUACAGAGACGGCUUAAGGAGCCUCUUAAGUGACUACUUACCGCCGGUGAAUUUACCGGGGAGUUUCUUACCAUUUUCUAAGUACAACUGAGGAAUUGAAGGGGUGGACCGGGGCCUCGAAAAAAAUACAUGCUCGAGGUGUAAGGUCAUUUCAAAAUAGUACAUUUAACGAGAGAAUUUCAAGAGAAAUUUCCGGAAAGAUAAUUUCAAAUUUUUUGUUCUUUUUACAUUUGUUAACAGAUCUUUUUAAGGCUUCAUAUGAAAAAGGAAAUUUCGUGGGUUUCCGUACCACGUGGCGAGGUUUCGGAUGUCCCUGGUUUGGAGGAAAGUUAUAUAUUUUCAGGUUUUCGUAUAUAUAGAACGACUCCGUAUCACCUUAACUCUUGGGAUGCCUCGACGUUAUUCCACGGUAAAUAUGGCCGCUUAUUGGGCGAUCGGCGAGAGUAAGGAGUACUUACGGCGUAGAGAGACUUGAGCUUGACGUGGUUAAGCGCGGGCACGUCCACCAUGGAGCACUUGAGAAGUAUCGUGGUGGUUUGGCUGGGCAUCUCGUCGCUUCGCAGGGCCUCGCGAACUCGACGCUAACGAGCCGCGUAUCGCCGGCACAGAGAGGAACGUUCAUAAAUAAAGCAGGGCACCUCGCGUCGGGAGUAACGCGCGCAGCAACGAGCGCGGACGAAUAAAACUAGCCGACCGACAACAAGCGGUGGAUCAUGGUCCUUCCUCGCCCUUCAGCGGGUUAAUUCCCCUCUAUAUAGAAAUCCAGUAAAUACGGUUUGAAAUCGACGGUUCCCAUCCAGAGGUUCUCGAGUUUUCGUCGCGAAGUCGCGCCCCUAUUGGCACGCAAAAUCUGUGCGCAGCCAAUCAGCGCAGCCGGCCAAGCUCCCCGGGGGGUAUAUAAGGGCGCACGUGAUGCGGGCCACGUGACAGUCGGCGGCCAACCUCGGACCCCGGAGCUCCCCUUGGCGGACACAAAGAUGCUGAUUCCACCGGAUGUGAAGGAAAUAAUGAAUCUCCCCGGUUCACUCGAAAAUAAACGAGACUCCUAAAGAGCAGGUUUACCUUCGGCGAUCCGGUGUUUAUUGAACGUUUAUUGAACGGGCUCAAACAUAUGAGUAAACGGACUUUACGAAAACCCUGAUUGUCGAUGCAGCAGGAAAAAGACGUCAUUUGGACGUGAAUCAUUGCUGAUAAGUGUGUGAUUAUACAAGGUGAACAACCGUCGAGGAGACGGUGAGAAAGAAAUUAUUUACCCCGCAGAAGAAAUGUUCAUUGUACCAGAGAAAUAAUUCUUUGAAUUCGAAAUUCGUUUAAAUUAACAAUGUAAUCAUUCUUCUCAACAAAACAAUUGUUUCUUGCAAUCAUAUAUGAUUCGAGCAGCAAAUCUAUCUUUUUAGUUUAUUUUAAUUGGUGUCACUCAAAGAAAAAUUUUUUUGCUCCCAUGAAUGUUUUUUUUCCUCAGAGUACAGUCCGAGUUUUACCGACUUUUUACUACCGAACGAUAAGAUGAGAAUCCGAGAAUGGGAAUAUUUACUUGGGACUCGUUAUCGGUUACUCUUUAUCGUAUCCUUCGAAAUAUACUUAUCGGGGAUCGGAAAGAACGCAUUUUAGACACUGACGAGGGUUCGAAAUUAUCACGUACUAAUCCUUCGGAGAAAAAUUUCCCUCCUUGCGAUAGGCUCUUUUUUUUUUUUUUCUUACGGUGGAAUAUUCUCCGGAAAUACCAUUGUCUUCAUACAAUUGAAAUAUUGCUGACGUAGGUAUUUAGGAUAUUUUUUACCGACGUCAAUCAAUUUUCUGGACGUGUUUCACUUCAGCGUAAUGAGUGAAUUUUCCAUUUUUUUUUUCCCCUUCCCAGGGUGUACCGUAGGUUAAGCAUCGGUAGUCAGCAUAUGUGCGAACGAUUCUUUUUUCCCUUAGAGCGAGGACUUUGACCGUAAGUGGACAAUAGGAGUGCGCGAAUCCCAUUACACACGCACAUGCCGUACUUUACGGCCUGCGGACGUGUAUAAUACAACAAUACCCGAGUACUUGUAUUCCUGAGUGACGUACACCUCCACCCGAGUGUACUCGUGGUAUAGACCCCGGAACAAUGAGCCCAGGAUGCGAAUAAACUCGGAAUCCGUUAAUUGUUUAUCAAGCCACUUGAGAAAUCGUCAGGGUUGCCUUCUAAAUUUACCAUCCUGGGAGCAAUAAAUUCACUUACCUAAGGCGAUAUCAAAGAGUCGUUCUGUACAUAUCGAAAGUCAAAAUAUUGAUA